CAACUGCCGAGCCCCAGUGGGCCUGGCGCAGCCCUGGACACCCCGCACAGGGCCUCGUGUCGCGCCAGCCGCGUAAACCCGCGGUUCCCCAGCCGGGUUAAAGCCCCUGGAAGGUGCCGGGCUGGAACCAGAGAAGGAAAGCAGAGGAUGGAGGUGUUCUCUGAGUCUGGGAGUUGGUCAAGCUGGCCUCCUCUCCUGAGAUCACCCGGUCACUGGGGAGUGUUAUUCAGAUGAUUUCCCCAACGCUUUUUCUUGAAGACCAGCGCCUGGACUCCACUGGAGCAAACUGAGGCCCAGAGAGGGGAAGAGACUUGCCUAAGGUCAUACAGUGAGUUUGUGCCUGACUGCCCGGCCAUCAGGACCCCUGGAGGGGUGGGGAGAGGAGGAGGCUGGAGCAGGUGGCCAGGCCAGCCAGGCCAGGAGGCUCCAGGGCCUGACUUUGGGAUGCUGACGGCUGGCACAAUGACUGGGGAAGGCUCCCUCUCCAAACAUACCCACUUCCUGUCCCUGGAACUGCCUGGAAAGGAGAAGGGAGUCCCCGCCAGGGCCUUGGAAACCCUGAGUAAUGGACAGGGAGCCUCUGCCCUGCUCCACCCAGGGAUGGCUGCUGUCUGCCACAGGGAGCCACUGAGAAGAGGAACCACACACAUGGGAGGGACAGAUUUUUUUUUAAACAGAGGCAGAAUUGGGAUCCAGAUUCUGGAGCUGAAAGGAAAAUUGGGGCUCAAAAAAGAGUUAAUAUUCUAUGAUAUACAAUAUAUUAUUGCUACAGUGUAUUGAGUGCACAGUAUGUGGAGGCACUACUUCACUAUUUGUCUCAUUUAAUCCCCACAAGCCUAGGAGGUGGGUACUAAAAUUAUACCCACUUUCCAGAUGAAGAUACUGAGGCUCCAGCUGAUGAAGUCACUUGCCCAGAGUUGCCAGAAAGAAAAGGCCUUUCUUUGGGGACUUCUGUGAAUGGAAGACCUCUAGGUUUCCUUCAUUCCCUCAACAACCCCAAGCUUUUGUACCAGCCAAGCCUCCUCCUGUCUCCCUCCACUUCCCCAGUGGCCCUUUGUGCUGGAGACUCUUGUGCCCUGGAUGUUCCUCCUCCCUCCUAUACUCCGUCUUCUCUCUCCUCUCCCCUUCUUGGAACCCUAGGUUCUCCAGCCCCAGAGGCGGCCGGUUGUGGAGCUUUUUGGUAAAAAAAACAACAAACAACUUCUUUUUCCAAAAGUGGUUGUGUGCUCCGUGGUGCCUCCUCUGUGUCCAUCCAAAAACAUACACACACACGCACACAAACCAAAACAGGAGUCAGGCUGUGGCUCAAUAGAAGGCAGACAUUCCGAGUGGUUUGGGAUUAUUUCACAGCUGAGCCGGCGGCCUGGGAGGCACUGAGCCUCCCGUCACUGCGACAGUCCCAGCACAGGCUGGAGACUCCCUGUGCAAUGGUGGUGCCACAGACAGUCCCUGCACCCUCUCUGGCUCGCUUGCUCAGAGAUGGAUUUCAGCCCUAGGACCCCAGCUGCACUGCUGCAGACGCGCUCGUUGGGAUCACAGUGAAUUCCGUUAGAGUGCGAGCCUCUUGGCAAGCUCUGAGCAGAAACACCAGCAAGGUGGCCGACACCAAGGCAGAAGGAGA